UACCUCAAAAUUCCGCAACAGUCUGUUUCAUCAGUAAACAAAAAGAUACCGCCUGAUGAUUCGAAUUCUUUACUGAUGAAACAGACUGUUGCAGAAUUU